rnacentral:misc_RNA from 1 species
CGGAAGUACAGAAGUAUACGGAGCUAGACGGGGAACAAGGCAAUCAAAUAAAGAGUCUUCAGAAGAUUUGAACGUUAGGAAGAGUUCUUCUUCAUCAUCAGUGGAUCAAGAUGAAAGAAAGUUACUUGCUGGCUCGUACUGGCUAGUUAGAAUAUUGUUCAUUAGAUCAUUUUCAGCUAUUUACUUUAUUAAAAGGAGUUAUUAAUACGAACGGUCACUUGUCUCAUAACAUAAUUCAGUUAAAAGAAUCAAUUGACGAUAUUCAUCAUAACUUGAUAUCGAAAAGUAAUGCUACCCUGCUUCAUUUUUAUCACCUUUUGUCAAUGAGAUUGAGCAUAUUUGUUCAAAAUGAAUCAAUACAUGUUAUUAGGCCCUCCCACUGUUGCUAAAAGAGACAGUGAUCUGUCUUGUGUUAGUGUCUUCAGUUUAAGUGAAGGGAAUCAAAAAGAGGAGGAGGAGGAGGAGGAGAAAAGGCGUCAAUCACUUGUAGAACAGGAGCUAUUAUUAGAUAAUGUUUAUAGACUGGUAAGAGAGCUAUUUGAUGAUAAUCCUCAUCAACACAUCACUUAUGAUACUACACCAAUUGUCUCGGGCAAAGCCACACCCACCAUCACCAUGGCAACCAAUAAUCACCACAAAAGUGCUGACUCAUCAAAAUCAUUGAUUACGGCACCUAAAAUUAUGAUCCCUGAGAGUAUCAUUACUAUAGCAACCAACACUGAGCGGAGUCUACUUUUUAAUGACACUCCCACUUGCAAUCAGAACAAUUAAGUGUCUAGCAAUUAAUGUCUACCAGUACAUGUACUUAUGAUAUUAUACUUGUACUUGCAUAUACUUUAGUACAACCCACAAUAGACUUUUACUAAUGUUUGCUUUAUAAAGGCAUGGCAUUAUUCUUUCUUUUUUAGUCUCUCAGUAUUGUCACUAGAGAAGAAUGAAAACUAUGUGGCAUUAUCAGCUUCUGAAUAAUUAAAAACUG